rnacentral:rRNA from 1 species
CGCCUAACACAUGCAAGUCGAACGAGAAAGUGAGCAAUCAUGAGUAAAGUGGCGAACGGGUGAGGAACGCGUGAGAAUCUACCCAAUAGUGGAGGAUACCCUUAAGAAAUUGAGGCUAAUCCUGCAUAAGCUCGAGAGAGGAAAGAUGGCUAUUGCUGUCGCUAUUGGAAGAGCUCGCGACCUAUUAGUUAGUUGGUGAGGUAAAGGCUCACCAAGACGAAGAUGGGUAUCCGGCCUGAGAGGGUGAACGGACACACUGGGACUGAGAUACGGCCCAGACUCCUACGGGAGGCAGCAGUGGGGAAUAUUGCGCAAUGGGCGAAAGCCUGACGCAGCGAUGCCGCGUGAAGGAUGAAGGUCUUAGGAUUGUAAACUUC